rnacentral:rRNA from 1 species
CAUGCAAGUCGAACGGUGAAGAGGAGCUUGCUUCUUGGAUCAGUGGCGAACGGGUGAGUAACACGUGAGCAAUCUGCCCUUGACUCUGGGAUAACUGCGGGAAACUGUAGCUAAUACCGGAUAUUACCUUGGAAGGCAUCUUCUGGGGUGGAAAGAAUUUUGGUCAAGGAUGAGCUCGCGGCCUAUCAGCUAGUUGGUGAGGUAAUGGCUCACCAAGGCGACGACGGGUAGCCGGCCUGAGAGGGUGACCGGCCACACUGGGACUGAGACACGGCCCAAACUCCUACGGGAGGCAGCAGUGGGGAAUAUUGCACAAUGGGCGCAAGCCUGAUGCAGCAACGCCGCGUGAGGGACGACGGCCUUCGGGUUGUAAACCUCUUUUAGUAGGGAAGAAGUGACUGGGUUUUCCUGGAAGUGACGGUACCUGCAGAAAAAGCACCGGCUAACUACGUGCCAGCAGCCGCGGUAAUACGUAGGGUGCAAGCGUUGUCCGGAAUUAUUGGGCGUAAAGAGCUCGUAGGCGGUUUGUUGCGUCUGCUGUGAAAACCCGAGGCUCAACCUCGGGCCUGCAGUGGGUACGGGCAGACUAGAGUGCGGUAGGGGAGAUUGUAUUUCCUGGUGUAGCGGUGGAAUGCGCAGAUAUCAGAGGAACACCAAUGG